rnacentral:rRNA from 1 species
GUGUCAGCCGCCGCGGUACUACAGAGGGUGCAGCGUUAAUCGGAAUUACUGGGCGUAAAGCGCACGCAGGCGGCUUUUUAAGUCGGAUGUGAAAGCCCCGGGCUCAACCUGGGAAUUGCAUUCGAUACUGGAAAGCUAGAGUAUGUGAGAGGGGGGUAGAAUUCCAAGUGUAGCGGUGAAAUGCGUAGAGAUUUGGAGGAAUACCAGUGGCGAAGGCGGCCCCCUGGCACACUACUGACGCUCAGGUGCGAAAGCGUGGGGAGCAAACAGGAUUAGAUACCCUGGUAGUCCACGCCGUAAACGAUGUCUACUAGAUGUUCGAGGUCUUGUACUUUGAGUAUCGCAGCUAACGCAUUAAGUAGACCGCCUGGGGAGUACGGUCGCAAGAUUAAA